rfam:Triticum aestivum genome assembly, contig: Triticum_aestivum_CS42_TGACv1_scaffold_212240_3AS
CAAGUACUCCCUCCGUCCGGAAUUCCUUGUCGUAGAAAUGGAUGUAUUUAGACGUAUUUUAGUUCUAGAUACAUCCAUUUUUAUCCAUUUCUGCAACAAGUAAUUCGGGACGGAGGGAGUAUUAA